UGUCUGGUGUGAAGGAGCAAAGGCAGCAGCAGGGCUGCUUGCUGGUAACGGCGGCGGCAUGGCAAACAGCGUCUGCUGCACAGGCUGCAAGGGCAAUGGUGGUGGCGGCUGCAGCAUCGCGUGUGGCGGCUGGUUGCCAGGCACACCGGUCACUUGGCCCACCAUGCCUCGGGCCGUAUCGGAAGGGUCAGUCGCUAGAAGCGCCUG
rnacentral:ribozyme from 13 species